UAUGAUAACGAAUGUUAAUGUUUAAUAAUCGCCGAAACUGGGAAAGCAUGUCGUGACAUGUCGGUUAUGUUUUUUUUAUAUUUUUGCAUGCGGCGCGUACGUGCCCGCGUUAAUUUUCAUUUACGAGCGGCCAUGAACACGAAUUUAACAUAGAUUAAAUAAAGAUAUAUUACAUUCACGCGGCGAAGAUGCAACAAAACGCGCGAUUUUGAAACGUUCCAGCACGGCACGUUUUCACCUUGAUUUGUUAUCAUUAUUUAUCAGUAUCAAAACUAGGGAUCGGCUUAAAUGAUUCAAUAUGCGUUAUUAACCAAACAUUCGCCAGAUAUCAAUGAUUAUAAUUUAUAUUAUAAUAAUUUUGUUUGAUUUCUGGACGUGUUGGAUGUAUAAUAUUGCGUUCUCUGUGCUGUUGUUUGGUCUAAAAUAUUUCCCGGUUACGUGUCGGUUGCGGCGGCCGUAGUUGUGGCGCGAUGUGUCAUCACAGGAAAGUUUAUAAAUAAUCCAUCGUAGUUCGGCGUUGUCGCGCAGCUCUCGUUGCACGUCGUGCGCUUUAAAUACGCACAACAAUAAACACGCUCCGCGCCGGUUUUAAUUCCGCGUUUAUUCGCGAAUUAAAACAACGAUUGUCCAACUCCCAAGUGAUCAAAAUCGCUAGCGACAGAGAGGACAAGAGUCAAUGGCCCAGCGUCACUAGUUUUAAUUUAACGGAAACACUCUUUGAGGAUUGUGUGGAUGGCGUUGUAAAUUUUUACCUGUAAUAAUCGUCAUUGGAUUUUCGUGAAACUGUAAACUCUGAUUUUGUAAUGCCGGAGGCAAUAUUGAGUCUGGCUACCUGCCGCAUGACUCAGACAACUUUUUAGUUGUUUGCUCUCGGUAAAUCGUUUUUUUUUUUCUGUGGUAGUAAGUUACUGCUAUCGAUUCGUAGAAAAUAUAUUUCAAGCGUUUGCAGUGAAUUUUACGCAGUAAUUGAUAACAAAUUUCCUGAUAAAUUCAGCGGAAAUCAACGAAAAAAAAAGAGUAGCAUUACUCAUAAAAUAAUCAAGAUAAUAUUCUCUCCGAAUGGAGUUUCUAAUAAUUCUUUUGUUUUAUAUUUGCUUCUGGCAAAUUUAUAUUUUACCUACAAAGUAAAAUAGGAAGUAAGGUGACUGUCACAGACGCACGGUGAAAUAGCACCAUUCCUAUGCGAAUUAUACGCGUACUUUGUUCAGUCGAGACUAUAGAAUGCGAUCUGCGAUCUCAACUCGAGUGCAAUUUGCAGCUGCAUAACAAUAUGAAAUGCCAUGUGCCAAUGUACCACACUGUACCACAUGCAUUCCACAGUCCGAUUGUGCAACUUUGGUGACGUCGACAUUGGAAGCCCUCAAAGUCGUCUAAUAACGACUCUGUGAUUGCCAACAUGCCAACCGCGGAGCACUUUGCGCUUCCCCUUUGGCUCUCCCCGCGUGCCCUGCACUCGAUUGCCUUUGGUCCUUUUCGAGGCUUUGUAGCAUCGCGCGAGCAGGUCCGGGCCAGUCCCAACAAUCGACAUGCAAAUUUUCGACGCACACAAUAGGAUACUGGUUUCUCCACGUUGGUUUUGCGACGACGGAUUCGAAAAGAAAUUUCACAUCUGGUGCCACAAUUGGUGCCAAUAUAGAUAAAGACCAAACUUGCGCAACGUAUACGCUCGAGGGCCUCACAAAAAUACACGCAGGGAACUUCGGAUUAUUCAACAGAAAUCUUCGAUUGGGGAUAUCUCUUAAACUAAAAACGAUCAACGGAUUGAAGAUUAUAAAACUUUGGAAAAUUCAGAACAUCGCAUGAAAAUGAAUGCACAGGUGACUCGCAUUCGGUGCACCGUAGAAAGAUGAAUGCACAGGCUCCACCAUGUUGGUUCUGUGGAUUGAUUGAAAUGGAAACUUUAAUUAUUCACCGCGCAUUCAUCGUACAAGGUUGGCCUGUGUGUAACAACGGUCAAUGACGCUUUUCGUAAGUACAGCAGAUUUAGAUAACCAUGCGGCUAGGAACACAUUCAAACCGAUCCAUCACAUGCCAAGAGGAAAAAGCCGCGCGCGUCGCGCUGAAAAAAACCAAAAGCCGAGUGCAUCGCUUUUAUUGCGUUUGAUUGAGUACAAUCAUAACACACAAAUGCGCUGCGCACAUCGACACAUGAGCAGGACCAGGCGAACAUGCACUGGAGGCUAAAAACAAAUGGGAAGCGCGAACGAGAAGAGAAUAAAUAGCCUGCUUCUUCUUAUGACGAGCACUCAGCGGUGGCAAAUGCACAUGCACAUCAUGCGCAUAUGUGCAGAAGGAUUACAUCAGGCCAUGUUUUAAUUUGAAGGCAAUUUAUUAAGGAUCGCAGAAAUAAGAAAAUUAUGGAAAUUUAAUAGCGCAACACUUCAUAAUUGAGAUUAUUUUGGAUUGGGCCGAUCUGUUCAAGUCAAUGUUCAAUAUAGUGGUACCUACCUCAGAUGAUAUGAUUAGGAUUUCAAUCAGUUAGCACACAUUCAUACUCACAACGUGUGUUGUCGCAGCCUCUUGUGUUCAGGAAUGAUGUGGAACUUCUACCGCUACCCUCCUACGGUGCCCUGAACACGAGUCACUUCUACCGCUACCCUUGUAUGGUGCCUUAAAUGGGAGUCACUUCUUACGCUACAUUCGGACGGGAUUUUGCACUUGAGUCCGACAUCGUAGAAGGACCAUUCUUGCAUCAGAUUUGAUUUUGCACCUGAGUCUGACAUCGUAGAAGGACCAUUCUUGCAUCAGAUUUGAUUUUGCACCUGAGUCUGACAUCGUAGAAGGACCAUUCUUGCAUCAGAUUGGAUUUUGCACCUGAGUCUGACAUCGUAGAAGGACCAUUCUUACAUCAGAUUGGAUUUUGCACCUGAGUCUGACAUCGUAGAAGGACCAUUCUUGCAUCAGAUUGGAUCUUGCACCUGAGUCCGACAUCAUAGAAGGACCAUUCUUGCAUCAGAUUGGAUUUUGCGCCUGAGUCCGACAUCGUAGAUGGACCAUUCUUGCAUCAGAUUGGAUUUUGCACCUGAGUCUGACAUCGUAGAAGGACCAUUCUUGCAUCAGAUUGUUAUUAUUAAAUUUCAUUAUCUUAAAUAACUUUUUUGAUUAUUACACAAAUUGACUCCCAAAAUGUAUGUUUGUGUGUUUUCUUUAAUAAAGAAUGUUUUUAAGUUUUUCUAAUUAAAA